rnacentral:lncRNA from 1 species
UGGAUUGGUUCUCGCGGACGCUGACAGACAGGGCCGGGGAGGGCCAAAGCCCUGCCUGAGGGGCGCGCGCGGGGGCGCGAAGGCGCGAGAACGCGAGUGCGCGUGCGCGAGCGGCUGGGCUUUCUCCUGAGCCGUCGGAGGGAGCCGGAGCGCUCCUCUUGAGUUGGUGAUCGACCAUUUGUGGUCCAGCAUGCACAAGUGAGUGGUGAAAGGCUGCAGAGCUGAUGGGUCGUGAGGAUGUAAGUGCGUUUGAAGGCUCUCACACUCUCUACUCCAGGGUAAGUUACAGGCCUUCUCUGCCAUUGUUGCUCUGGUUUUACUCUUAUCUUAAUGGUCUUUUGGAGUCCAUGCAAUUUGUGUGCCCUGUCUGAAAGUUCCCAAAGCCUUUAAUGAUUCAGCUCAUAGAUGCUAUUCAGAUUAGUACUUACAAAGAUAAAACCGUGGUCAGGGUAAUGGGAAGGAAUCAGUAUGUGGAAAUAUCUCAACACAAUAAUUUCACUUAGUGACUUUGUAUGAGAUGUGAUUUACAUGGGGGCUGUGGGGAGGAUGUUGGACCUUCCUGAGAUACACUGCAGAGCAUCCUCUCUCUCAGCACCCUCCCCCUCCAUGGAUCACUUUGCAUAACUUUUCCUGCAUUAAUUACCUUUUUUUCAGGUGUUGGGGGGGGGGAACAGCUUGCCAGAGAGUUGAUGAUUCCCAGUUUCACAGAUGAUAUAGCUAAGUACUAGCAAAGUUUUGCCCAGUGUCACUGGGAGUCACUUGUACCCGCUCCCCCACCUCUCUGCAGUCCCUAGUGCAAUGGUGGUGGGCACUGGGAGUAUUUUAAUGAAAGCUGGCUUUAUUUAUUUAUUUUUAUUUUAAAAAGUUUUUUUAGGGCCGUUCCUGAGGCAUAUGGAAGUUCCCAGGCUAGGAAUGAAUCUGAGCUGCAGCUGCCAGCCUGUACCACAGCCACAGCAACGCUAUAUCCAAGCCGUGGCGGUGUCUUACACCACAGCUCUUGGCAAGACUGGAAGGCUGGACCCUUAACCCACUGAGCAGGGUCAAGUAUUAAACCCAUAUCCUCAUAGGUAAUAGUCGGGUUUGUUAUUGCUAAGUCACAAUGGGAACUCCACCAAAGUUGGCUUUAGAUUUUAAUUUGUGCUAAAGAUUUUGGGGACCAAAAGAACAUCCCAUUCACUGUGAGCUCUCCAGCUUCUAGAGCUUAAACUAAAACCAGAUUCAUUGAAGAGAAAAUUAUAAUUAAUAAAAAUCUAAGCAGAGCUAAGGAUGGUUAGAAAAGAGGGAAAAAGGAAGUUAUUUUUUAAAAAAGUACUCACCUGAAAAACUGGAUAGAUGGUUGUUUUAAGCAUUUCAGUUCAAUAGUGUGGAGCCCUUGCUAGAUAAUGUCCCAUUACCCAGGCUCAGACAGAGGGCACCCAGAAAGGCUGAUGUUCUUCAAUGCCUCAUAUGGAUCAGUAAGGAGCGAGUACAAUUUACUAAAUGAAAUAGACAAUUAAGGGCUAUAAAUCUCUGGAGAUUCCCGUAAGCAUACAUUGUUACUGCAUUGGGGGGAUGCACGUGCUUAGAGAUAAGCAAAGCAGAGGCAGUAGCUGCAAGGCUUGUCACAAAAUGAAGAGUCCAGGGGAACAGCCAGAUGCAGACCCCUGCCUAGUGCCUGGGGGUCACUAAGGAAAGGAUUUGGUCUUUGCUAAGCUUUCUCCUUAAAGGAAGGGAGCUAGAUGUUGCCAGCUUUCCUCAUUUUCUUCUGUGGCUCCCAUUUAUUUUCUAUUCUAAAAGUAACUAAAAAGUAUAACAUGCCAGAAAUAGCACUCAACUGGCAUGUUUCUGUUUAAAUACCAUUCAAUGAUCAAAUUAUAGAGGAACCCAUUCUUUAACUAGUGAUUAGAGGGCAAAGAAAGUAAUGCUAGAGAUGCCAGAGGAUCAGGGAUCCUUAUCCUCAGCACCAUUAACAUGCCAAGCCUGGUGAUUCUUUAUUGUGGGCUGUUCACACAUUGUAGCACAUCUUUGGCCUCUACCAGCUAGAUACUCCCCUUCCCCCACCCCAGAAUCGUGAUAAUCAAAAUGUCUCCAGAUACUGCCACUUGUUCCCUGGCCGGUGGGGGGCGGAAUUCUGGUUGAGAAGCACUGCUGGUGGCAUACAGUGAUUUAAUCUUGCUCUGAAUUUCUCUGGGACUGUUUCAAUCAUUAGCCUCCUUUUGCUACAAUUUCCCUACCUGUAAAAUAGACACAGCAUUUGUAACUCAGUAGCCUAAGGAGGUACAUAGUAUUGUGUGACUAUUUGGGAGCUCAUAAUGCCAAUACCUAUAUCCUAGUCUUGUGAAGACAGAGGCUGAGGAGCAGGGGAGUUGGAAGGGUGUGAGAAAUGCGGAAUGGUAUUGGAUUCUGAUUUUACUAGAAGGCUUCCAAUUCUAGUUCAUUUCAACAAUAUACUCUUGAACGAAGGCUUGUGGGGGAGGAUUAAGAAAGGGGACAAUAAAGGAGGGAAAAAGAGGCUAUUUAGAAGAGCAGUCAAGGAGAUUGCUUUUGAUCUGGAGGUGGGGGGUGAUCUCUUAUCGUUAAAGUGAUUUAUGUGUAAUUAGACCAAAGGACAUAAAGAAGUAACCCCCUUGCUCCAAAGAAAAAUAUUCUCCCAAAUGACUACUGAUCCUAGAACAGAUUUUUCAGGUAAUACAACAAAGACUGGAGAGUGUUGGAGAAAUCUGUUUUUAUUCUAGAACAUUUACAUUUCUGCUGCUUCUCUUCUUUGGCUUAUCAAAAAAGGUCAUCUUCAAUCCAUGCCCUUUGAUACAUACAAUGUUUGAGUAUGACACAUGCUCUUCUGAUACUCUUCUAGAACUCUGUAUUGGAAUGCUGAAAAAGGCCUAUCACCCUGACCCAGGCCUGAGGUGAUCACACUAUUUUACUAAGGCAGGGCAAGUGCAGGGAUUAGAUGUAAAUUGUCUUGGUAGGUUUGAAUUCAGCCUUGCUGUGUUUCUGGUCCCUGUAAUUAUUAGACAUACUCACAAAAUUUACAACAAUGCUACCUUGUUGACGCAGACUCAGUGGGUCCAACAUCAGAGGAAAUUCUGUUGGACAGCACUGCUUUAGUCUGUCAGGACCCUGUUUGUUAGAAACCCACCCUUGGAGUGCCAGCAUGUGCUUGUUAUGAAAAGACCUCACCUCAUUUAAAGCAGGAUUGUGUUUUGGACUUCUCCAUCCUAGGGGGCUUUUCAGUCUGUGAGUGGAUCUUGCUGAACUUUUUACCUUGCUGCGGCAUCUGUCUGUUAAAGAAAUUGCCAUGGGCGUGUGUUUCUGACAUAACUGAGUUCACUGUCUCUAAAAUAUUUGCUCUUUAAUCCAAGGCUGCUGAACCGUCUCUUUCCAUUUGGUCUCUCCGUGCCCUAACCCUCAGUGGCAAAGCUUGUUUGUGCAGGAUGUCUCUUUUGAUACUGCCUAGAGCUUCAGCGUCUGGGAGAGGUGGUGAGAGAGUUUUCACCUCCUCUUCUUUCAAGCCCCAGUGUAGCUAAAAAAAAAAAAAAAAAAAAAAAAAA